AUGGGCACCACUGCACAAGGUGUCCGUGAACGUGGGAUGCGUUCUGUAAUUAAGCAAAUCCAGUGGAUAAGGCCUCUCUGGUGCGGUGAGAAAUACGUCGCGCGAUUCUCCAGAGAGCAGAUCUCUUGUGAAAAGCUUUUGAUUCACAGCUGCAGCAGCGGUGUCCUGCAAGCAGGAGCCUCCCACCAGCAGCACAGCGCAGCCGUACAGCCCCUGACCCCGGCACGGAGAAUUCCUCCCAGUUCCUCAUCAAUCGAGCAUUCUGGGUUCACAGUCUGCGCAUUUCCUUCUGAGCUCAGCGCUCCAGGUGCGCAGUCAGCCCACGCUUACCGUUGUAUCUCCAUCCUAAUCCCAUCAACCUGUCACCUGUCUCCCACUCUCUCUUUUCACUGUGUCUGCCCGUCCAUUUCUCUGGUCCCGGAGCCUCUCGCUAUCUGCUCACCUGCUUGUGCAACCGUAUCCUCAGUGCUAUGCGAUGCUGGAGAAGGAAACACGAUUGUAACUCUCACGCUUGAGUGGGCGCACGGUGCAGUUUUCCUCACUAAUUUGGCUCAGAGGACAUAACAGAACACCUCUAUCUUCCGCCCCAAUGGUUUUGCCCCACGAGGAGCACUGCAGUCCCCACGGAGCCCUUUAAUCUUUGGCCUCGCAACGCGCACGGACAUUUCCUCGGGUUCCGCAGACACUGCUUUAAAAGCGGCUCCCUGUGCCAUAAUGAGCACCGGGAAUGUUCUGAGCCGGGGAACAGCGGGUGGCAGUGGGACACUCCGUGAUGGAGCCGAUGGUGAACGGGGGGCGCUCGAGCAGCCGAAAUAGCGCUGAGCGCGGCCAGAGGGACAGCAGCACAUAGCCGGGAGUCCUUGAGAAGACGAGCGUGGGCGGCAGUGCAGUGCAUACGCGUGUCCGAGCUGUGUAAGGAGGAGCGGAGCUCUGAGCGGUGCCCUCCGUGUCGCGUCCCCCGGUGCGCCCGGUGGGGAACGACGGAGCGCCGCGUUCUGACACCGUGGAGUGGAAUUCCACCGUCGCAGCCCGAACCAACGGGUGGGCUACGUGAGUGUGUGAGUGUCUGGAAGGCACCCCUUCUGUCUCUGCAAUCCUUCCUGUGCAGUCUGAGUCCGCGCGGGUCCCUCUCUUUGCCCCCCGCCCCUCUCUCCGGUGGUGCGACAGUACAAACGGGGGGGGGACGCAUUGCUCAGCCCGUCUCUCUGUGCGCGCUGUUACCGGGAGGUGUGAGGAUAUCAAUUCCUUUCGCUAUCUUUUCCUCGUGUUCCUAUUUCUCAAAGAAAGGCUCUGUCGUUGCCUUCGUUUGUUCUACACACCGCAUCGCGGCUGCAGGGUUUUCUUCCCGGGUGGCGGAUGGCGGUGAGAGCUGCUGCCGACGGGCGGACCGCUCCACCGGACGGCCGGGAGGGGAAAGCGAAGCUCUUCGUGUGCACAAACACCGAUUUUCCUGUUCUGUAAUAGGAUUUUGAAUAGAGACGAUACCUCCUCUCAGACUGCCCGUAGGGCGUCUGCCGUUGCAUUCUCAACUAUUUCUGCAGUAGCAGAGAUACUUACUGUAGCUCUUUCCAGCUGAGCUACUCCUCAGGUUGGGAUAAGGGCCCUCACGAAGCUGUGUUAUCCUGCACCGUAUCCCACUCAUGAGAGUGUUAUCGCUUUCCUUAACAGCGGCCACUGUUGGAUGUGGAAACAGAAGGUUGAUCCAAACAGAAGGGAGAAAAGUGACGAUCGUACACUUAAACAAACCGAGGUGCAGCAUUACCACCCUCAGCACCACAUAGCACAGUACUGUUACAACCACAAUACAAAACGGAACAGAGCACGGCACCAACUCACCACACACACCACCCCAUGGACGUUAAGACCAUCCUUUCCUUAGGAGUUUAUCCUUGCACUUUCCUUGACAGUCCAAGCAGUUCCUCAGCGUGUCGGAAUAACGUCCCGUGACAAUACUUUAAUUACCCCACGUGCCUCAUCAGUUCUACAAGGGAAUGCCUCUGGCCGCUCUAGAAGGUAUCAGUACGAACACACAGCGAUACCCCCCUUUUCUUGGCGGUUCCAAGAACUCAAUUUGCCACUGUUGCCCUGGAAGGUCAACAAUGGAAGGUUCCCUUUCCCAAUAGGCCCACUUUACUCUGUUCCUGGUAUUGGGAUCGUACUUUGUCAUACCUGUUUGCCUAUACAUUUUCUUAGCUUCCCUUAGAACCAAUUUCAGUGAAAUACUAAAGGACACAACAGUGUGUCCACCCGGGCAUGUACCCAUCUGUCAGCUUGCUCCCUUCCCUUCUCAAUCAUUAAUUCCGACCUUCUUCAGAAUAUUUUACAGGUUCUGACUCAGGUUCAGAAACUUUAAGUUUACCACCUGGAAUUAAAGCCCCCUUCAACUGCCUGUUCUGCCCCCGAUCCACCAUCUUACCUCCAGUUUCCUGCACAGUGUUCCCUUCCUGCAGGCUGUUUUUCCUGGUGUGUGAGCCAUCCCUGCUCUUUUCAGAUGGUGCUAUGAGCGUGUAGCACCCCAAAUACAUCAUUAGCAUCUGUCUGUAUAUUUGAGUCUCUCGUCAAGGCAGCCAUUCCAGCCUUCUGAGGGAAAGUCCCCACAGGUAACGGUCGUGCUUCGAUGACUUUGUCAGUAGCAGUUCCUGCAUACCCUGCCUUACGGUUUCCUUGUCUCACCAAACUGCUUCCAUCAGUAAGCCAGGUGUCCUCUGCAUCUUCUAAGGGUUCGUCUUUCAGCUCCGACUGGCAGCAGUCCGUAGCCGCAGUAGUUUCAAAGCAGUCACGAAAUAUUGGUUCUCCGGGAGUUCUGCUAAGGAGAGAUGCUGGAUUGACAAUAUUAGUUCCAGUUAUUUCUGCAUCAUCCCGCUGUGCCAGGAUGGCCUGGCAUUUCAGGAACCUCUGGGGGUGAGAGCCAAUGCCCCCCUUUUACCUCCAAUACAAUACAGCAGACACUGUAUCAGAUAUUCAAACUGCUAUUCUUUGGCCUAGGGUAAAUUUACCAGGUUCUUGAAUAUUGAGCACUGGUGCAGCCACCGCCCUCAAGCACUCUGGCCAUCUCUUACCCACUCCAUAAAGGGACUUUACCACCAGUCCGUAGCCAUGUGUCCACGGUUGGCACCCUGCUGUCAUUCCUGAGAAUGUACGGAGUUCCUCGGCACUUUGUGGCUCAGGGGUUUGGCAGAUGGCUUCUUUCCUGGCAGUCCUUAAGGUUCCAAGUCCAGCUGUAAUCUCCCAUCCCAGAUCGGUCCCUUGCUGUUGAGUUCUUGGUGCCUUCUAUUGAGAAAGUCGAUCAUCAUUCAAACAAAGAAAUUCAGCACAUUCGCAGUCCAUUGCACACAGCCCUCUUUGUUUCUGUGGCAUCCACGUUCUGCAGUAAAGUUCCACCGUGGAGUGGAGGAACCCAAAUCUCAGACUCACGAGUUGAGCAGUUCUCAAAAAUCCUUGGGCUGUUCUCACAGCCCUGGCUAACACUGUCCAGGUGAACUGAGUCUUUUUGUUCCGAAUUGAGGCUCUCCUAUUCAAUUGUUCCGAAUUGAGGUUCUCCUAUUCAACAGCAAACAGCCUUAGGCUUCCCAAACCAGGCAGAAAAGGCAUCCUUCAAAUCCAGAAGGAAACUCCACCUACUCAUUCCCUAACUGAGUUACUAAAGUGGAUGGAUUUGCCACCACGGAGUGUAUACAUUCAGCAAGUCUAUGACUUUCCCUCCAGUCUUGUACUAAACUAUAGCACUUGCUAUCCAAUUUUUCAUCGGCAAGAUUGGAGUACUGUAUUUGGAUUCAUAUUCAAUUAGUCAUCCAAAAUCCAAAAGUUAUCUAUUAUUUCUUUUCUCCUUCUCCAGUUGUAUAUCCUCAGAGGGCACCGCUUUACCCUGCCUGGGCUAGCUCCAGAUCUUGCCUUGAACUUAGGGCUGCAUUUUGGCUCUACCAGGCAUCCCUGAUACCCACACUGCUAAGCAUACUUUAUUUAAGAUUUCUGUAACUUCUGGGGGUACAACGUUGUUUUUCCCACUUAGUAUUAAAGCCAGACCUACAAUUUCCAAUCAGUUCAUCUUGUUUGACCCUUAGCUCCGGUUUUAUUGAAUUGAAUCUCUGCAUCCAUUUUGUGCUAAUAAGCAUUGCCAG
rnacentral:lncRNA from 7 species